UGGCCAGUUUACUCUAGAUAGAUU
rnacentral:piRNA from 1 species